rnacentral:rRNA from 1 species
UACGUAGGAUGCGAGCGUUGUCCGGAUUUAUUGGGCGUAAAGAGCUCGUAGGCGGUUUGUUGCGUCGGCCGUGAAAACCUGCAGCUUAACUGUGGGCCUGCGGCCGAUACGGGCAGACUUGAGUUCGGUAGGGGAGACUGGAAUUCCUGGUGUAGCGGUGAAAUGCGCAGAUAUCAGGAGGAACACCGGUGGCGAAGGCGGGUCUCUGGGCCGAUACUGACGCUGAGGAGCGAAAGCGUGGGGAGCGAACAGG